GAUGAACGCUGGCGGCGUGCCUAAUACAUGCAAGUCGAGCGAACAGACGAGGAGCUUGCUCCUCUGGCAUUAGCUGCGGACGGGUGAGUAACACGUGGAUAACCUGCCUCUAAGACUGGGAUAACUUCGGGAAACCGGAGCUAAUACCGCAUAAUAGAUUGAAUCGCAUGGUUCAAUAGUGAAAGACGGUUUUGCUUUCACUUAUAAAUGGAUUCGCGCCUCUUUACAUAGUUGGUAAGGUACGGGCCUACCAAGGCGACGAAGAGUACCCGACCUGAGAGGGUGUUCGGCCACACUGGAACUGGACAACGCUCAAGACUCCGACGGGAGGAGGCAGUGGGGAAUCUUCGGCAAUGGGGGAAAGCCGACCGGAGAACCGCGGGGUGAGUGAUGAAGGUCUUCGGACGGUAAAAUCCUGUUAUUAGGGAAGAACAAAUGUGUAAGUAAAUAUGCACGUUUUGACGGUAACUAACCAGAAAGCCACGGCUAACUACGUG
rnacentral:rRNA from 1 species